UGGGGAAUUUUGGACAAUGGACGCAAGUCUGAUCCAGCCAUGCCGCGUGCGGGAAGAAGGCCUUCGGGUUGUAACCCGCUUUUGUCAGGGAAGAAACGAGUUUCUCUAAUACAGAGACUUAAUGACGGUACCUGAAGAAUAAGCACCGGCUAACUACGUGCCAGCAGCCGCGGUAAUACGUAGGGUGCAAGCGUUAAUCGGAAUUACUGGGCGUAAAGCGUGCGCAGGCGGUUAUGCAAGACAGAUGUGAAAUCCCCGGGCUCAACCUGGGAACUGCAUUUGUGACUGUAUAGCUAGAGUACGGCAGAGGGGGAUGGAAUUCCGCGUGUAGCAGUGAAAUGCGUAGAUAUGCGGAGGAACACCGAUGGCGAAGGCAAUCCCCUGGGCCUGUACUGACGCUCAUGCACGAAAGCGUGGGGAGCAAACA
rnacentral:rRNA from 1 species